CCUANGGGUGGCUGCAGUUCGGAAUAUUCGGCAAUGGACGAAAGUCUGACCGAGCGACGCCGCGUGCGGGAUGAAGGCCCUUUGGGUUGUAAACCGCUGUCACAGGUGAGCAAAUCACAGAGUGUUAACACCAUUUUGUGUUGAGUUAAGCUUGAGAGGAAGCCCCCGCUAAUCACGUGCCAGCAGCGGCGGUAAUACGUGAGGGGCGAACGUUGUUCGGUGUCACUGGGCUUAAAGGGCGCGUAGGUGGUUGCGUAAGUAACGUGUGAAAUCCCUCGGCUUACCCGGGGAAUUGCGCGUUAUACUGCGUGACUUGAGGACCACAGGGGAAGGGGGAACUCCAGGUGUAGCGGUGAAAUGCGCAGAUAUCUGGGGGAAGGCCGGCGGCGAAGGCGCCCUUCUGGGUGGUUCCUGACACUGAGGCGCGAAAGCGUGGGGAGCAAACAGGAUUAGAUACCCCUNUANUC
rnacentral:rRNA from 1 species